GAUGAACGCUGGCGGCGUGCCUAAUACAUGCAAGUCGAGCGAACAGACGAGGAGCUUGCUCCUCUGACGUUAGCGGCGGACGGGUGAGUAAAACGUGGAUAACCUACCUUUAAGACUGGGAUAACUUCGGGAAACCGGAGCUAAUACCGGAUAAUAUAUUGAACCGCAUGGUUCAAUAGUGAAAGACGGUUUUGCUGGUUCUUAUAGAUGGAUCCGCGCCGCAUUAGCUAGUUGGUAAGGUAACGGCUUACCAAGGCAACGAUGCGUAGCCGACCUGAGAGGGUGAUCGGCCACACUGGAACUGAGACACGGUCCAGACUCCUACGGGAGGCAGCAGUAGGGAAUCUUCCGCAAUGGGCGAAAGCCUGACGGAGCAACGCCGCGUGAGUGAUGAAGGUCUUCGGAUCGUAAAACUCUGUUAUUAGGGAAGAACAAAUGUGUAAGUAACUAUGCACGUCUUGACGGUACCUAAUCAGAAAGCCACGGCUAACUACGUG
rnacentral:rRNA from 1 species